rnacentral:rRNA from 1 species
GACGAACGCUGGCGGCGUGCUUAACACAUGCAAGUCGAACGGAAAGGCCUUUUCGGAGGUACUCGAGUGGCGAACGGGUGAGUAACACGUGGGUGAUCUGCCCUGCACUCUGGGAUAAGCCUGGGAAACUGGGUCUAAUACCGGAUAGGACCGCACUUUAGUGUGUGUGGUGGAAAGUUUUUCGGUGUAGGAUGAGCCCGCGGCCUAUCAGCUUGUUGGUGGGGUAAUGGCCUACCAAGGCGGCGACAGGUAGCCGGACUGAGAGGUUGGUCGGCCACAUUGGGACUGAGAUACGGCCCAGACUCCUACGGGAGGCAGCAGUGGGGAAUAUUGCACAAUGGGCGCAAGCCUGAUGCAGCGACGCCGCGUGGGGGAUGACGGCCUUCGGGUUGUAAACUCCUUUCGCCAGGGACGAAGCGUUUUGUGACGGUACCUGGAGAAGAAGCACCGGCUAACUACGUG